rnacentral:rRNA from 1 species
UUUUUGUAAAUAAUUUAAAGUCUAAUCUGCCCACUGAUAAAUAUAUUAAAGGGCUGCAGUAUUUUGACUGUACAAAGGUAGCAUAAUCAUUAGUCUCUUAAUUGGUGACUUGUAUGAAAGAUUGGAUGAAAUAUAAACUGUCUCUAAUUAAUUUAUAAAAUUUAAUUUUUUAGUAAAAAAGCUAAAAUAAUUUUAAAAGACGAGAAGACCCUAUAGAGUUUUAUAAUUUAUUUGAUUAUUAUUAAUAUGUAAAUUUUAAAAUUAAAAUUAAAUAAAUUAUUUUGUUGGGGUGACAGAAAAAUUAAAUUAACUUUUUUAAAUAAUUAACAUUAAUUUAUGAAUAAAUGAUCCAUUAAUAUUGAUUAAAAGAAAAAAUUACCUUAGGGAUAACAGCGUAAUUUUUUUUUUUAGUUCAAAUAGGAAAAAAAGUUUGCGACCUCGAUGUUGGAUUAAGAUAAAAUUUAAAUG